UAAUGGCCACCGCCCUGAGCAGCCUCCGCGCGCCGGCGGCCUUCUCCCUCGGCAUCGCCGCCGCCCCGGCUCCGGCGGCGGCCGCCACCGUGGUGGCGCUGCCCGCGGCCAAGCCGGCCCGCGGCGCCAGGCUGCGCGCGCAGGCCACGUACAACGUGAAGCUGAUCACGCCGGACGGGGAGGUGGAGCUGCAGGUGCCCGACGACGUGUACAUCCUGGACCAGGCCGAGGAGGAAGGGAUCGACCUCCCCUUCUCCUGCCGCGCGGGGUCCUGCUCCUCCUGCGCCGGCAAGGUCGUCUCCGGCACCGUCGACCAGUCCGACCAGAGCUUCCUCGACGACGCCCAGGUCGAAGGCGGCUGGGUGCUCACCUGCGCCGCCUACCCCACCUCCGACGUCGUCAUCGAGACGCACAAGGAGGAGGACCUCGUCGGCUAAUAAGCAGCCGCAUGCCAUGCACACCACACACCACACGAUCUGUAUGGGCCAAGCAAGCUAGCUAGCUACCAUGCCAUGCAUCCAUCCAUGACAGCAGCACAGCUCCAUGCAUCAUCAUCUGUUAUACUACUCUCUUAUUUAUAAUCCAAUUUUACUUCGGAUGCAUGAUAUGAUAUAUGAGUUUCACUAUGCUCAAGCAAAUCAAAUAAUAAUGUUUUUUUUUCUCUCCUCUUCAUUCAGUUUUAUUUGUGCUAGCUACUAUAUAUAUACUACAUAUACUUAACUGAACUUACCAAAAUUCAGUCUCUAAUCCCUGAACCUCCUAUACUCAUACGAGUUAUAAUAACACACUGUUAGCUAGCAGACUAGAUCGUAGAGGAUGAAUUUGGGAAGAACAAAUAGGUAGGAAGCAUAACAAUGCAAGGUAGGAGAGAACAGAGGAUAGUAUUGUUCAGCUCUCAAUCUCCCUUUAUACAUAGCAUUGCCUUAGCGUGAACCCACAGGCGCAGCUAUGUCUAGCCUAUAUAUGGUUCACGCCCACUCGGGACCAUGUUCUUCGCGCGCCUGGCUCAGAUGUCUGGUUCGGGUGCGCCUAGUUCACUGGUCACCGUGUCGCGCUCUGGUUCAGCCUUAUGUACGUGUUGGCCCUUCCACACACUUGGAGUUCAAUUUCUAGAAAAAUCGAAGCGCAUGGAUGUGAUCAUAUGAGACACAAAUCUAUAUAUGACUUCAUCCUUCAAUGAACAGUCAUGACUCAUGGCCUCCACACGCACAAUAACCAAUCAUCAUCAGUGGCCAUCAAUUGGUUUCCACAUUUUAUUUUCCAUGAGUGUGAGUCACUACUUUUGCUCUCAGUAAGUAAUUAAAUAGAAUGUGAAUUUCCGCCCCAUUAAUUCCCGUGAUGAUGAUGUUGAGGGCCGGUAAAAUUCAUGGCCAAAAUUGUUGAGGACGUACGUGAUCAAACAAGGAGAGGUUGGAGUUGGCCCCGCCAAGAAGAUAAGCCUACACGCUGGACUCACGCCAUCCCUUCGUUUCCAUCUCAUCUCUCUAUCUAACUCCAGCAGCCAGCCGCUAGUAGCUCGUCCAAAGCAAGCAGGCACACACACACACACACACACACGCUCCAGCCUCUCCUCGGCACCCACAACGACAUACAAUGGCCACCGUCCUGAGCAGCCUCCGCGCGCCGGCGGCCUUCUCCGUCCUCCGCGUUGCGCCGGCGCCGGCGCCCCCCGCCACCGUCGCGCUGCCGGCGACCGUGGCCCGCGGCGCCAGGCUGCGGGCGCAGGCCACCUACACCGUGAAGCUGGUCACGCCUGAGGGGGAGGUGGAGCUGAAGGUGCCCGACGACGUGUACAUCCUGGACCAGGCCGAGGAGGAAGGCAUCGAGCUGCCCUACUCCUGCCGCGCGGGCUCCUGCUCCUCCUGCGCCGGCAAGGUCGUCGCCGGCACCGUCGACCAGUCCGACCAGAGCUUCCUCGACGACGACCAGAUCGCCAGCGGCUGGGUGCUCACCUGCGCCGCCUACCCCACCUCCGACGUCGUCAUCGCCACGCACUUGGAGGACGAGCUCACCGCCGGCUCCUAAUCAUGCAUGCUUAUCUCUGUUCGUUAUUAGCUUCUUAUUCUUUACGCUCGUUACCUACUGCUUGUUGCUUUGCAAUUGCAAUUAUCUUAUUCAUCAUGUAAGCGUUGAGUUUUCAUCCGUGGAUCGAGAGACUCCCUACCAACCUUAUCUCUUCUUCGUCACGCCAAACGUCCUCGCACGUCGCGAUGUAGACACGGCCCGAUCUUUUCAUUGGUAGAGAACUCUGACAUUUACGAUCUUUGGAACUAAGUUUGAUUAUAUUCAGACCCCACAACCAAUACAUCACUGCUCCCCGUUGGUUAUCAGCCACACACAAUGUGAUUGAUUUGCCGAGAAGGCUUCCUACGAGCGAAUCGAGAACUCAAGUAAGAGCGGGGUGAACAUAAUCUUAAAUUGUAAGUAUGAAUGAAGUAUAUGAAUUUGAUAAGAGAUUCAAAUCUUGAUUCAAAAAGACUAGUCGACAAAGGCAAACAAGAUCAACAUUAGGGGCCCUGGUUCACAACUGUCGAUCUUGAUGAUACAAGUUCAACGAACAAUGCAGCAAACAAUAUAUGUUUCACAACAAAACAAGAACACAAUGAAACCCAACAACCCUAACGGGAGAAACAACGACUAAUUAAAGGGUCUUGGGCGUCAUCACCUCUAGAUGCACCCCCUAACACGAUCCACAGCCAACGAACCAAACAACAAUGUCGCAGCACAGUGGCAAAUUAUGGACAUUGACUUAUUUUGACGAUUCUUGUUGACUCAGGACGAAUCAAAAGCCAUUGGUUAGCUUAUUAAUUAUCUUUCCAUGCAUAUAUUGAUCGUCAAGAAUGGAGUAUGUAUACACUCUCGGGACUGGUCCUAAAAUCCGACAUUGAUUCCAACUUUAGUCGGACUAGGACUCGACCAUAAUGUGGAUGAGUUGGACGCCCACACUAGUCCUCCUAGUCUCUUUGGAUUGUACAUGAAGUAGUGAUGUCAUCAUCACACCCCUCUCUCCAUUGCUGCCCCCGUACACCACCGCCACUUGUUGCCCACUUCGGCGCCGGUGUCGCAUGUUCCUCGCACCACCACCGCCCGCUUGUCCCUACCUCCCCAUAGCAGUGAGGAGGUCACCGUAGCCACCAUGACCCCAUGACCUCCAAGGAGCUCUCAUUUGUGCAUCCAUGACCUCUUGCGUGAGGAGGAGCCCACCCUCUAAUUUGCUGCAAGAUUCGACUCAGUGGUGCGAGCCUGUUUGCUGGUCUGAAAAACCAUGGUUGAAAAUACUGUUCGUUGAUUUAUUGUGAGAGAAAAACACUCAUGGCUGGCAGAAAAAGUACGACUUACAAGACAAGUAGGCUCUUCACAAGAUCCCACGCCUCUUGAUGAGCUGUCUGUGGGCCUCGACCACACCAUUGACAACUCUCAUGCAGCCGCUCCCGUGUCUCUGACGACUCUGAUUGCUUUAGAAGAGCGACAGGGUGCACAAGCGGCUGCCCCUUCCACUCCAUUUGUAGGGAUGGGGCAUCCUGCGUCCCCCAAUAUGAAGGAAUACACCCUCGGUAUCCCGGUUCACUCUUUGACCCUGAAUCAAUCGUCGUCUAAAAUAGUAUGGACACACAUCCAACAUCACUCAACUCUCAAUCCAAACGCACAAUAUAUGUUCAGACAUGGUGUGGAGGUCAAUCCUAAAUGAAUUGGAAUUUAUGUCAUCAUAAUUGAUAAAACUACAAACCUCCUAUACCCAUAUAAGUUAGACCAGCUUAUAUCCUGGCACAAUACAGAAAUCGAUUCUCAUGCAAAUUAUUAGAACUAUAUAGAUGGCCAGAGUACACCCAGUCAUGACUUGUGGCUGCCACACGCACAAUAACCAAUCUGUGGCCAUCAAUUGGUCUCCACAGAUUAUUUUUCAUGUAUUGAGAGUCACCACUUUAUUUGCUCUGUAUAAUAAAUAUAUUUUUUGUAUCCUAAAAUAAGUGCACAUUUUGUACUUCGAAGAGUAAAAUAUUAUCAAAUUUAACUAGAGUUUUUUUUUUAAAAAAAAAUAUUAACAUCUGUACCUUUUAAUAAGUUUACUAUGAAAAAUACAUGAUGAGAUUUAUCUAUCCAAUGAUGUUUGUUUGAGAUCAUAAUCAUUAAAACUUUUUUGUAUGUAUUUAGUCAAACCUAAAAUUUGUUGAUGUGCACUAUAUAUUUUAGGGUGAAGGGAGUACAUACACUGUUCGUUAUUCACAUCACACACACAGUUUCUGGUGAUGUUGAGGGCCGGUAAAAUUGGUGGCCAAAAAUUGUUGGGGACGUUAUCACAUGAAAGGUUAGAGUAGGUCCGUUGUGCUUCCGGCCCCACCAAAAAGAUAAGCCUAACACGCUGCACUCGCGCCAUCCCUUCGUUUAUCUAUGUAUGUAUAUCUGCCGCCUCCUCCUCCUCCGACCCAACAACAACUCCAGCACACACACACACACACACGUAUACAGCCUCUCUUAGCUUAGCAGCUCCAGCACCGGCCGGCCGGCACCACAACAAUGGCCACCGUCCUGAGCAGCCUCCGCGCGCCGGCCUCGACCUUCCCCUCCUCUCUCCGCGUCGCGGCAGCACCGGCGGCGCCGGCCACCGUGGCGCUGCUGCCUGCGGCGGGCAACAAGGUACCGGGCAUGGCCGCCCGUGGCGCCAGGCUGCGCGCGCAGGCCACCUACAACGUGAAGCUCGUGACGCCGGAGGGGGAGGUGGAGCUGCAGUGUCCCGACGACGUGUACAUCCUGGACCAGGCCCAGGAGGAAGGCAUCGACCUGCCCUACUCCUGCCGCGCGGGGUCCUGCUCCUCCUGCGCCGGCAAGGUCGUCGCCGGCAGCGUCGACCAGUCAGACCAGAGCUUCCUCGACGACGACCAGAUCGCCGCCGGAUGGGUGCUCACCUGCCACGCCUACCCCACCUCCGACGUCGUCAUCGCCACGCACUUGGAGGACGAGCUCACCGGCUAAUCAUCAUGUGUUACAUAUGCAUGCAUGAUUGAUUAAGCGCGCGCGUAGUACUGCUGUUGUUUGUUGGUUUUGCAUGCAACUCAUGUAAGCGUGGAGUUUUC
rnacentral:lncRNA from 1 species